CUGAGGUGAGACAGCUCUGCAGCUGUGCCUCGCCCUGCCCAGGUCCUACUGAUUUGCAACUCCCCAGAGCACAGAUUUUAAUAGGCUGCUCACACCCUGUGCAGGAGUCAGUCCCAGUCAGGACACAGCAUGGACAUGAGGGCCCUUGCUCAGCUCCUGGGGCUCCUGCUGCUUUGGCUCCCAGGUUCCAGAUGUGACAUCCAGAUGACCCAGUCUCCAUCCUCUCAUUCUGCAUCCAUAGGAGACACUGUCACCACCAAUUGCAAGGCCAGUCAGAACAUAGGUAGGAGUUUAGCUUGGUAUCAACAGAAACCAGGCAAAGCUCCUAAGCUCCUGAUCUAUGCUGCAAGCAGUUUGGAAUCCGGGGUCCCACCAAGGUUCAGCGGCAGUGGAUCUGGGACAGAUUUCACUCUUACCAUCAGCAGCCUGGAGCCUGAAGAUGUUGCAACUUAUUAUUGUCAACAGUAUAGUAGCUACCCUCCCACAGUGGUAUAACCCAUGACAUAAACCACUCAGAGAAGCAGAAGUGUGAGGCUGGACUGCUCGUUCUGAUGCCUUCAGUUGCUGAGAGUAUUUCUGAGAUGAAGCAAUUCUUUGAAGGACAGUGGGUACCAUAACUUUUUCUCCAUGC